rnacentral:rRNA from 1 species
UCCGUAGGUGAACCUGCGGGGUAAGUGAUU